UUUCCGUAGGUGAACCUGCGGAAGGAUCAUUACCGAGUGCGGGCCCUCUGGGUCCAACCUCCCAUCCGUGUCUCUUGUACCCUGUUGCUUCGGCGGGCCCGCCUUCACGGCCGCCGGGGGGCUCUCUUGCCCCCGGGCCCGCGCCCGCCGGAGACUCCAACAUUGAACACUGUCUGAAGGUUGCAGUCUGAGUUUUCAUAUAAGAAAAAUCGUUAAAACUUUCAACAACGGAUCUCUUGGUUCCG
rnacentral:misc_RNA from 1 species